AACGGAGGGGGCGAGUGUUACUCAUAAUGACUGGGCGUAAAGGGUACGUAGAUGGUUAAGUAAGUCUUUUGUGAAAGGAGUGGGUAAUUCUACUCAAGGGCAUUUUAAACUAUUUAACUAGAGUUAUGGUAAGGAUAAUGGUACUUUUAACGAAGAGGUAAUAUUCGAUGAUGUUAAACGGACCACCAAAGGCGAAGGCAAUUAUCUGGACUUAACUGACAUUGAGGUACUGAAGCGUGGGGAUCAAAUCGG
rnacentral:rRNA from 1 species